rnacentral:rRNA from 1 species
AGACCGAUAGCGAACAAGUACCGUGAGGGAAAGAUGAAAAGCACUUUGGAAAGAGAGUUAAACAGUACGUGAAAUUGUUGAAAGGGAAACGAUUGAAGUCAGUCAUGCUCUUUGGAUUAAGCCGUUCUGCGGUGUAUUUCAUUGAGCGGGGUCAACAUCAGUUUUGAUCGCUGGAAAAGGGCAGGAGGAAGGUAGCACUCUCGGGUGAACUUAUAGCCUCUUGUCGUAUACAGUGAUUGGGACUGAGGAACGCAG